rnacentral:lncRNA from 1 species
UAGAUCGUUGUGUGUGCGCCUGCCUGCGUGCCUGCCUGCCUUCCUGCCUGCCCUAAAGACACGCGUGCGUCAGGAUUUGUUAGUCACAUCACCUUGAUGGACAUUUCAUGAUUACUCUCAGGGUCUCAAUCUCAGAAGGUUAUUUUGUUUUCCUCGUCGCUAAUGGCAGUCUGUGUUGGAUGGUGAAUUCACCUAAACUCUGGGUGUUUCUUUGGUAGGCCUACUAUGGCUGUGGAGAGAGGAAAAUGCAUAAAUGUGUAAAAGUUAAGUCUUUGCAGGUUGCAUGUAGGGGAGAGGGGUUUCGGGGCGGGGGAGCCCCAGGUUGCAAAUCAGAACCUCUCAUACCCAUUUUACAACACCAAACUAUUUUUUAACUCAUUGACUUUCGCAGUUAAGUCUAAAAAGCUCUAUUUUGCUCAAUGUCUAUUUUAAUGCUUAAGUGUGUAUACAUUACUGUAUUUAUACUUUGGAUAUUUCAACAGGAAAAUAAUUUAAAAAACUGCUUGAGUGGGACUUGAAAACUAUUCAGAUUCACCGAGAAUUUAUUCUGACCUGUUCUUAAAUAUCACUACAAAUCCACAGUGGCCACGUCUACAGAUCAGGGCUGUGGUUAAUUCCAGUCCCUUCAAGACAUAGGCCUACUGCUUGAAUCAUACAGUCUAUGUCCAAUCUGAUGUAGGUUAAUGUAUAAGCUAUUCAUGUUUUGUGGUAUUUGUUCUUUGUGCUUUAGGACACAUGGCAAAAUGCUUCUGCUGUUUCUGUGUCUCGGUUUGCUCACUUCUAAUGUCCAGUCAAGAAUACCAGGGGCCAACAUAACGUGUGAAAAUCAAUUGGUUAAAGCAGGAACGAACCAUAACCUGACAUGUAGAGUGGAUUACAGUGCUGAAAAUAACAAUAACUGCACAACUGAACGGUAUUUCUGGAAGCAUAAAUCAAAUACAAAAAACAUAAAAUGUACAAUAGACUGUAACCUGAAGAUUACCAAAACCUACUUUUUUGAGAUAGAAAAUGUUACCAAAGCUGUUGAGGGAAACUACACUUUUUUCAUUAACACAAACUGUGGCGCAGGAAAUGGCAAAUUUUAUGUUUCCGUUACUUGUAAGUACAAUGCUAAAAUACAGUGA